GUUGGUGCAAAAGCUUCGCACCGCUCACUUUCUGCAGGGGUAACUCACUUGUUUCUCUGGGUUACUCGAGUCAUAUGCCUCUUCCCACGUGUGGUGUUUACCUUGGAGCUCUGCUCUCCAUUGCUCACCUAAUCUGCAAUGUAAUUGUCCAUCUAAAAAUACAGGAGCCCAAAACCAGGCUUUCUUCAUUAUCUUUACUAAGAUGGGUUUAAAACAACUGAAGCUCCAGCUGUUCGUGAUCAGCUAUAUACCUGAAUUUCCCAGUGCUUCUACAAAUUCAUUCCAUCCUGCUUAACUUUCACCCUGCCUCAUUCCCCUACGGUAUGCCUGGGCAGAGAAGACCUGCACUUCAAGGUGUGGUUCGUAGCUCCUGCACGAAGUAAGCUACUGUGUGCCCUUGACCAAGUAAGUUACAGGCACUUGUCUAACACAGGUUAACGCUUACGCCCAGAAAAACAUGUGAAUGAUCCUGUCAGACCCCCCGUGCCUUGGCUUGCCUGUCUGGCCUACGCUGUGCAUUCUGUUAUUUACCUUCUGCAUCUUUUAUAAGGAUGAGCAAAGAACCGGCCUCUUUAAGUAAAAUGUUAACAUCUGCGCUCAGGGUUUCCACUACUGCAACACCCCCACACCCAACCGCAUUCUGGGGUUCCAUGAAACGGGGGAAGGCUCUGAGCCUGCUCCAAAGACAAAACUCAUUUUAACUGCAUUUUCUCUCCCCUUUGUUUUUUAAGAAUCAUUUGCAACGAAUGGCACUCGCUAAAUGACUGUCUAACAGGACAAAACGGUGCAAACCUCCCCCUCUCCCCCCGCCGACUGGAAAGCACUUGUCCUUAGCAACCCCGGCGCUGCGCCCUGCUCGCGGACACCGUCAGGUGCAUGCAGAAGAGGGUCCCACUUCUAUAGAGCAUUGAGAGACAAGAGCUGUUUCUUGUUGUUGCAGCCCCUAAUGAAAAUUUGCCUGCCACGUAUCCGAGUGUGAUCUGGAAGCAGAUUUGCACCUGUCUCAGCAGGCCGAAAGCAAACAAUAACAGCGCUGAGAGCGACUUGGUGAGCAAGCAGCAAGGGCAGGGCAAGCGGGUGAGAGCCCCCUGGGUACGCUUCUGCCCUGCUGCUGCUCAUCAGAGGCUUUUAAUCAGAUCAUCAGAGCAGGGAUUUUUUGUGCUUUACGUGCACACGGUACGUACCUUUCUGCUCAGGAAAAGCAACCCACAGCUAACAUGACCUUUUCAUCUUCGUUAUCAGGGCUGGAACGAGAAGAAGUGUCCCUGAGUGUGUGUAGCACUGAACACACGAUGGCUUCUGCUCUCCCCAAGGCUUCUGGAAACACAGAGGUGGGGUGCAGCUGCCAGCCCUCUGCUCAUGCUGAGGGCAUGCAACUGUACCAGCUCACUGCCAUGCAUGCCACAAGAAAUUUCUGCUAAUGCAAUUCUAAGUUAUAUGGGCUUCAGAGCAGAGACUUUUUUUCCUUUUUUUUUUUUUUUUUAACCUUUUAAUAAAUUACUAGAAUAUUUUAGGUCCUAUAAAUAGUGUUUUUCCUUUCCUAGUUGCAAACAACCCAUCUUGUGCAUCUGAAUGCUUUGAGCUUUAUCUCAGAGAGGUUUUUCUGUUGACAUUGUAGGCACCUUUAUCAUUUUUUACCCAGGGCAUACAAAGCUCUUUGUGAUGAUUUGUCAGUGUUCAGCCUUACCUCUGAAGAGCGUUAGCUAUUAUUAUUUUACAGUUAGGAAAAUUAAGGAACAGAAAGCUCUGAUGAUUUGCUCAGGGUCUCUGUGUAAGAAAGAGGAAUAAAUCCCAGGAAACUCUGCUUGCAGGCUUCUGCUCUAAUUACUGAAGAGCAUUCUUCAAAAAGUGUAGCUUUUUUGAAAGAAAGGACAUGUGAGCGUGAUUGUUAUCUGCUGAGCAGAGCAGAUACCAGAUGAGAGAUCUUUCCUCUUUAUCUUUUUACGAAAUAAUAGAUGUCUGAUUAUGAUCUGAGAUGCUAAGAAAACUUUGUUACAGAUAAUUUCAGGUUUCCAAACAUGUUUCUCUUUAGUAGUACCUCUUAUUUACAUAACCCAUUAAGUUAGCCAUAACGAAGAGCAAAUAACCAAAUGCACAUCUUGGACAUGACUCCUGCCGAAAUAUCCACAGCCUGACUCAGAAGGAGUAAACCUCAAGUUGCCACUGCGCUUAGCACUGGGCGAAUACACUCCAGAGGAUGGCUCCUGCUCCAAAGAGCUCAAGGUCUAGGGAGGCAAGACAGCAGCAGGGACUGGCCCCUCCCGCCUGACACUUUGGUGGCGUCCCAUGGUCAUACAGAAAGUCCCUGCAAUGCCAGGAAUGGAAGUCAGGUGACCUGGAGCAUAAUCUCAUGUUGUAAGCACCAAAGUUUAGUGGUGGUGUUUGUUUGUUUGUUUGUUUUGUCUGACACAGUUGUUACUCUAACAGCAAAACUAUCUUUCAGAGGUCCUCUGUAGGAUUCCCUCAGGGGAUGGGAGCUAGCAGUCCUGCCCCCUUCAAUGCCCUGUCAGCUCUGGAUAAAAUAACCUGUACAUACGCAGGUACGUAGCUGCAUGUAGUGCUUCAGUAAUGGGCUUAGUAACAGAGGGAUUCAGAUUAAAGAUUAGGAUAAAGGACUUGUCCUGCAAAAUGACUUUUGAAGCAUUUAUGUGGGCAGUGCUACAGAAAUCUACAGUGAGAGUCACCUAGACCUGCUUGCCCCACUGACCCCAGUUGGAAUCCAGGUCAGUUCUGAUGGACUCAAUGGAAUAGCAAGUGUAUAAAGGAUACGUGCGCGUUGUAUGUGUACAUGUACGUGUACGUGUAUGUGUAUGUAUAAAAUCAGCAUUGCCUGAUCCAUCUUUCAGCUGUUUGCUUAGCUCAAUCAGUUUAAUUUGCAACUUAAACUGUGGGAGAGGACGUGUAAUCCUUUUAUCCACUGCAGCUGAUGAUACCCCAAAGCCCUUUGUUUACUUAGUACGUUACACAUUCAUUGAGACUUCCGUCACUAAACAUGGCAUGCGCUGACACUCUCUGCAUCAAAUGCUGCUCCAUGAACAAAACUCAUUUGCAGACACAACCUAACACCUUGGUACAGUUCAUUCUAAACAGUUACAUUCCUAGAGAAGCACUCUAGAACAUCUGUGAGCACUCGUGUGUUUGUGAACGCGUGCACGUGCAAGGCAGAGGAGAUGCGAAGGAGGAGAUGCAUCUUUUCCAUGGAACUGAGAUGUAAAUGUUUGCAAGGGGGGGUUCUUGUGCAGCAGAAGAGGCAGGACAGAGCAUGUACCUUCCUACCGUGGGAGCUGAUCUCAACAAAGCUGGGUCCUCAGGACCUGAAAACAGCGGGUGUCACUCAUGCCGUGACCGGGUAAAGAAAGCCUUGGGCAGCAUUUGGGGGAAUGGUCUGUCGGGAUGGGAGGGAUUUCUUUUCUCUGCACAAAAGAAAGAGAGCCUGCUCUCUUUCUGCUCCUUCGGCCUUGCUGCACAGACCUCAGUCACCCUGAGGCCAACUCUUCGUCUCUCUGCUGGUGUACGCACACCUUCCACAUCGCACGUUUCCAAACACGUUGCAUGCCAUGUCAGCCAGCCUCCGGCCCCUCCUCCUUUUUCGGGCUGGCACAGAACAGUGCUUGGUGAGAAAAGUGCUGCUUGCAAAGUAGGGUUUCUGUGGUUUAGGGUUAUUUUAAUUAAUUAAUUCUUUUUUUUUUUUUUUUUUUUGUAAGUCUGCAGCUGCUAGUUUUGAAACGACCAAUCCUAAAGCUGCAGAAGUAUGAAAGAGAGGGUAAGAAAUCAAUGGAAGAAAUAGACAAUCAGAGCGGGGUCCUGACCGUGGAGUGGCUGCUAUAUUUUAAAACCCAUAAAAGUUUGGCUUGUGUAAGAAACCAUCUGGUAUUUAGGCCUAGUUGAAAUUUUAGCUGUGUGCGUGCACUCUGUGUAUGAAUCAAUGGAGCAGCUUCACAGGCGCGUGCACGUACUCUGCUGGACUCCUUCACCAGGCAGUGCAGGGCACUUGCUGAAAAUAUCUGGAAAACCUAUUGGACUUCACACCCCUCUAACUCCUUCUGGACUGCUCAUAAUGGUCUUUGAUCUAAGGGAAAACAUGCGUGCCCGCCACAGCUGCAAUGCUGCAAACCCACAUUACGAAUAGGUGCAUGACCCAAAACCAGUUAGCGAUGCACAUCUCAGGAACAUUGUAGAAAGCUGCUGAAUAUUUAUAAAGAGCCUAAUGGCAAGAACCACUGGGUUUCUUUCUGUUCAUAACAAGGCAAGCAGUACAUGCCUGCACCGAGAUCGUUGUUGCUGCUGCACAUGAGUAGAAUUAAGUCUGUCCCACCUUGUAAGAGCAUCUACCCCAAAUCAACCCGACAAGGUAGAGAAGAAAGGAAGCAUUUGCUUACCUCUACAGAUGAGAAACUGAGAUACAGAGAGAUGAAGUGAAAUGCCUAAACUCAUACAGGAAACCUGUGGCAGAGCUACUAACUGAACCAGGCUGGGCACUGCUGAGGACAAAGACUGGAGUGAAUUAACUGCUCACAGACUUUUCUGACUCACCAGGAGGAAAAAAAGGGAAAAAAAAAAAAUGUCAUCACAAAAAACCCAGAAUUGCAUCAGGGAGGGUUCUUCCACUGUGUGUAAGGCCAGGCACUAGGAACACCGUGUGCUGCCCCUGUGACUAAUGCUGAGAAAAGGCAAACUCAGAUGGGAACAGGUGCAGCUGAGGGCUAAGGAAUAACCAGAGAAAGGGUGUUGAUAAGAAAGAUCAGAAGAUUUUUGUUUAUCCCAGCUAAACAAAGACUGAGAGCAGCAUGGCAGUGGUCUGUAACUACACGGGGACAGAAUGUCAGGGAAGGGAAAGCUCAUAGACAGUGCCGGUGUGAGAGACAAAAGGUAUAAAUCAGUCAUGAGCAAAUAGUUCAAAAUCAGGAGAAUGUAUUUAAACAUCAGAAUGAGGAAGUUAUAGAUGUCCUUUCCGGUGGGGAGCAGUAGCGGUGGAAAGAAAAUACAUCCAUCCUUUACAGACACCUUGAGGAGUUUGUGAAAGGAAUCACAGAGCACGGUCAAGUCUGACAGCAGAGCGGACUCAGCUCAAGAAUUGCUUCCACUCUGGAGUUGAAAUUAAGUGCCUUAACUUUUCUUCACUCCUAAGGAAUUUAGAAGAAGAAUCUCUUGUUACAUAGAGUGCAUAGCACAAACAGAGACCCAUCUGGUCUCUGGGCACUACUGUAGCACAAAUAAUUCAUAACACUAAUGAUCAACCAUAACUACAUCCUUCCUGAGGUAGAGAUACCAUAUGAGAAUCCCAAAAGUGAAAAGCAGGGAACUGACUGCAAGCUUAUUCCAUCCUUUCAUGACCACCCCAUAUUCUGCGAGAAUGAGAAAACGUCUACUCUCAGAUACAGUGGUGUAAAUCCAGAGGAAUUGAAAAAGCAUCACUGCAAGCAAGCUUGAACUUCAGUGGCAUGCUUUCUCUUUCUAAAAGGGACGAACUCUAUCCAUCUCUUAAAACCUUUGCCCACUGCUCUGGAAGUACUGCAAAGGCAAAGGAUUCCUAUAAGUGCAAGGCUGGGUUCGGGAAGCCCUGCAGAAACCAGCGAAGUGGACAGAAACCAAUCUCAUCUUUAAUACCAACGUGCAGAAACCGUGCGUCCUGGGCAUGAGUUUGUUGGGGCUCCGAGGCAAAGUGGAUAUAGCCUUUUCCUACCCAGUAAGUGUCAUCUGGUACAUUUUUUACACAGCCUUCCCUACAACAUUACUCAAAAUCCAGAGGACUUGGUAUCAUCGUCAAAGAGAGGACAGGAGGGUAGAGCUGCUGUUCAGGAAAAGACUAGAAUUAGAAGGGAGCCUGGCAAAGCCCUGUUCCCUAUCUUCCUUCGUGAAAUUUCUGUGUAGGUAAGAAGCAACACUUUUCAGCCUGGAUCUGGCCAUGCCCCUUCUUCUACUUCAUGCAAUGAGAGGAAGUUUUCAGCACAAAAGCGGUGCAGUGUGAGAUUCUGCACAGACGCUCAGUCUGCAGCAGGACUGCGAGGAGCUGGAGUUUGGGCCAUGUGCCAUCGGAAUGGUAGCAGUUUCCCUUCGGCGUACUAGCGACGUCUCAGAUUUCAAGUACAAUCUUAGUGUCACAAGGGAAUUCACGAUCACUCGGAUAAAAUGUAGCACACACAAUUUGCAGGCACACUUGUCUGGUAGAAAAUGGGAUUCAGAAGAAAUAGGUUCAAUUAAAAAACACCCCAGAUCCUGAUAAAACACACUGCUUUUUCUGGGCAUCAGUUCCUCUCUUAAUGUAAGAUCAUUCCUUCUCUUGUCAGAGUGGAGUCUUAACAGACAAGUUUGGUAAUAUUGCAAGAUGAUACUGAGAAUUUUGCCUUGAGCUAGCAAAUCACUUCAGUGCAUGCUUAUUUUAAAUCUGGUUGGUUCUGACGAAGUCAAAUGUAUUCAUCUAUGUCUCUCAGAAAUAUCGCUAAAAUGUAAUAUUUGUUCUGUUGGAAGAUACACAUGCAUACGUUAGAUCUAACGAAGGAAGAACAUUACCAUGCAUGUCAUAUGAAUUUUACCAGCAACUUCGUAGUAGGAAUGUCAUUAUUAGAAAAAUUAUUCUGGCUGCAGCACACCAUCUCUGAGGACCAGGAGUCACACAGACUGUAGCGUAGAUUCUCAGUAUGCAUCAAAACAACCCACAGCAACUUUAGUAACUGCUCCAAAUGACUUUCACUCUUUUGGGAUCAAUUUAUAAAUAGUGAUCUAUCUGGCUUUUGAGCCUGUACGUAUAUCAGCAGUUUCUGACUCCAGUGAUUUUUCUGUGUAGCAGAAGUAAAACUUCCCUUUCAAAGCUCAUGAAGGGUGCGUAAGGUCCACCCUCUUCUACAAAUGCCGUGGCAAUUCUACAGCCAGGGAUGUGUGGAUGGCCACCAGGACCCUUUGUGUCCCUAAUGCUGACUUGUUGAGUGACCAGGACCAGUUUCUUCCUAUAUUUCAUCUCCUAGCUUUUCUUUCUUUUCUUUUCUUUCUUUCUUUCUUUCUUUCUUUCUUUCUUUCUUUCUUUUCUUUCUUUUUCUUUCUUUCUUUCUUUUUCUUUCUUUUUCUUUCUUUCUUUCUUUCUUUCUUUUUUUUUCUUUUUUUCCUUUGCCUGUUUAGAUUAUGGGCUCCUACUCCAUCUUCGUGCCAUGCCUCAUCUUGGUGGGAGUCUCUAGGGACAUCUACCAUAAUACACGGAAUUAAGCAUACGAGUCACGACUUCUGGUUCUAAUCAGGAGUCCGUCCCAGAGGCUGAUCUGCAACAUGACCCUGAUGGACAAAUCCUCAGAAUUUAACAGGGAUUAAAUCAAUGGAGUUUUCAUAGAAAUUGAAUUAGACUGUAUAGAAAUUGUUCCAUAAACAGAACACAGGAGAAAAGGCUAAACUUCCUCGAUUUUUCCCUGUAUUUUACAGAAGGGAUAUAAUUUUCUGUUACCUUUUCCUGUGUUAAUCCAAAAUUGUGUGAUAAAAAAAUUACACUUUUCAAUGUAAAUGCAUAGGAUUUUGUUAUUACAUGAGGAAAACCUCAAAUCUGCACUCUGAAACCUGCAGAAAGGCAGUUCUGUAGGAAGGCAAUGACGUUUGUUUUUUCCUUGCUUUAAGUAACAUAGGUCCUGCUCCUCUGUUAGGCUGGGGUGAGCAGAGCCCCCUGGCAACUCUGCUUUCCUUGUUAGCUGGUGUGGUGCACUAACCCUCAGCUGUUUCAGUCUAUUUUAACCCACGCCUGUCUCUUUAGGUAUACGCACCAUGUAGAUUAGGACAUAUACAGAAAACAGGCCAAGUCCACUACUUUUAUCUUAAUCCGUAUUCUGCCAUUCCUGAAUGUUGAUGAUCUGAAUAAAUGAACCUUGGACACAAGCUACCUGUCUGCAGAGGCUGAACUGGCAAAUUCACUUUGUGCCACAUGCAGAUGGACAACAGGCAGUGCAGGUUGCGGUUUUGCCCCUCCUCUCCUUAAGCCUGCUGAACUCUGGUGGCUUGGAUAAAUGGAUAAACUGUGAGCAUGAACAAAUUGCACCAAUUUCAGUGGGAAUUUGAAGAUACUCAGUGUAUAUUUCUAAAAAUCAGGCCCGUAUUUGCACUUCGGUCUGCUCUACACAUUUCUAGCUCCUUUUAGUUGCAUUCAGGAGCAUUCUUAUAGGCAUUCUACUUGGUCCUGAUCUGAGAUCACAUUACUCUUUCUGAACAAGAAGACAAGUUACUGUAGAGCAUGCACGAGAUCAAGCAUCUCGAAUAACGCCUAAGAUUUAAAUCACCGUGAACUUGUGAUUCUUAUAAAGAAUAAGCAUCACGUCUGACAUGCGAAGAUUAUGAAGGCAUGGUGCAUCUCAGCAAAACAGUAGACUUGUAAUCUGGGUGGGGUGCUCUAGCUGGAAAAAGUGGUGUUCCCAAGAGACUGGCUCCUUACUGCAUGGAAUAAUUUGGAUUUUGUGUUGAAUCCUUCAUAUCAAUAGUAUGUUCCUAAUCCAAUUGACAAGAAUGAAAUAAAACUGCAGCCUUGUACCAGUGAAGGGGAAAAGAGUUGGAAGGGAAGAGUAUCAAGCAGUGUAGAUGUUUAAGAGAAUCAUUCCUGUUAAAAGUUUUAGGGCUGCCAGUUCCAGUAAAUACCAGGGCAAUGCCAUUUGUACUGUACAUGUGCAAACAUUUUGGGAAGCAUUUCUGACAGUGGCCUAUAUUUCAGGACACAAAAUUCCAGUCCCAAGUUCAAAUAGCAAAUAUGCUCACACAUACAAGCCUGUGCAGAUCAAUGAGAUCUCAACACCUGAUUGUUUGCUACACCACAACAUUGAAAACCCUGUCUCUCUACUAAAAUGCAGGGUUCUUUGCUACAAUUUUCCUUUUUUUUUUUUUUUUUUUUUUUUUUGUAGACUAGAGCAUGGCAGCUGCUACUCUGGAAGUGGCUUCAUUUCAGCAGCAAAGUUCUUGCCCUCUGCAGCUGGCAAUGCAAAACUCAAAUAGAUAUGAAGAGGGCACUAUCACUCUAGGCAGCCUGACUCAGAGUCGGGGCAGAAAAAAAAAAGGCAAAUGUUCGAUGCUAACAUUAUACGAAGUCCCAAGGAGAUUUGGAACAGGAGCAGCGGAGGAGUUACAGCUUCCUUUGUUCUGCUAAAAGGAAAAAGGAAACACAUCAGGAAACCAGACUGUGGAGCACAGGAAGUCUCACUUUGGCUGAUAAAAAGGAACUGAUGUGAGGUUGGUUCAGAUGCAGUUAUAAGUCAAUCAAGCUUGGAACAACAAGAAGAGCUAUUCAGAAGAAACCAGAGAGCCAAAGCCUGUGUUUAGCUGUAGAAAUGGUGUUUUAACAUCUCUUAAUCUUCUUAUCUUCUUGUUUGAAAGAAAGCUGCUAUAAAAAUGUUCAAAAAGACUUUUCAUCAUACAGAAAUGGUUUCCCCAACCCACCACACCCUCCACUGACCCCACCAUACCUUACUCCAGUUUCUUUUUUUCACUCAUCGACCAACUUAAAAAACUGUAUUCUUGCUGAUUAUCUCCUCCCCUCAGAUCAAAACCAGCAUUAGUUAAGAAGGGCAGGUUUUUGCUGAGUGAGAAAUCAGCAAAUGACUAAUUAAAGGCUCUCCUGCCCGUUAUGUUAUUUUCACCCACUCUGCAUGAUUGACAAGCGUGGGCCAAUACCCUAACGUUCAGUUCCUGGUGUGCAGCUUUGUUGGCUUGGAGAGGGGGGUGUUACACUUUUUUUCUUUUAAUUGUUGCUUGCUCCUUUACAGCCCUAUUGUGGGUUGAUCGCUGGGUUAAUCUAUGCUGGAAGAACAGGAACAAGACACGUGCAAAUAAAGCAGUAAGCUUAGCUAUAUCCAUGGCAUUUACUGCAGGAGCUUCUACUGAGCUCUGUUUCUGAACUGCAUUUUAGAAAAAAAAUCAGGAAAGAAAGAACGCUUGAUACACCUGAAGAGUCAGGGUCAUUUUUACAGCAUCAUGCCAAUGCUGAGGAGAAGCAAGGGCAAGAUGUCUGGGGGAUUUAGCCUUACUUCUCCCACCUGUUUCCAGCAAGAGUUGUAUAUUCAAUGCCCCUUAACCAGCUGUGUAAAUCUUAACAUGUUUCCAUAUAGAAUCAAAAUGCUUCGUUAAGCACAUAGAAAGCAGCGUGGUUUUCAGAGGGAACAGUUACCUUCAAAAGAUAAUGAGAGCUUGCAAAUGAAACUGGUUGCUUAGUCAGGUAAAUGUGCACUUACAUGCCCAUUUUUAGGGCUCUGACUUCAAAUAUGGAAGCAAACCAGAGUUAGACACAUUAAAAUAUCUCUGUUAUCAAAUUCUGAUGGUCCCUGUCAGGUCAUUAUUUCCAAGUUUACCUUUGGUGGUGUUUGUCACUUGAGAAACAGGUUUAUUGGGACAUACUUAAAUGUAUUCAGCAGUAAUAUACAGUAACAUAUAUCCCUUUUGUUUAGGUCUCUGUCUUACAGCUAAAGGAAAAUCUUUGGUAGCAGAGGUGGGGGAGGAGGGAGGUAACGUUUGUGGCUUUACUACAAGAGACCUGUUUCUAGAUCAGGUUACUAGCUGUGUAGUUACGCAUCAGUAAUUAUGUGGCCUGGGUAAUGAGAGAAAGAAAGAAAGAAAAUAAGCUGUAGAUGCAUUACAUUCUGAAGACUUGAUAGUUGGAGCUCAGUGAAGUAAAUUAUGCAUUGUCCUAUUCUGUUGCUGUAUAUACCAGCUCAACUUAGUUGGCACUUAGGUUGAUCGGCAACCUGGCUGCCCAGGGUCUGCGAUGACACAGCAUGCGGGUUAGCAAUGACUUGGGUCUGCCAUCAGGCAAAUUAUUUCCAAAAGAAGGCAGAAAACCACAUUGCAUUGUGAUAUUUUAGUCCUUACUUUCAAAAACAGCUAUAAAUAUGCACUCACAGUCUUGUAAGAAAACAUUUGUUCACUCAGAAAGUGUACUUAGGCAUCGCCUGUGGAAGUACGACAAGACUCUGUACAGCCCGAGAAGUGCACUCCAAGCAGCUCUGUUUACCCACCAGUGCUAUGCAUGCAUUGUGUGCUCAUGUUCACAUGUGCAUGAGAGCAGGAGAGGCGCAGACACUGGAAAUGGAUCUGUUGUUCAAUUCAGAACAAAAGAUCUAAAGAGAAUUUUACAUUUGGGGGAAAAGCUGGCUUCAAACCAAGUUGUAGACCUUAAACUUAAAAUAUUAGACCUGCUCUUCUAGGCAAGCCCUGCACACAUUCAUGCUUGCUCCAGCACUAACACCAUGUUUCUGCAAUGUGAGGUGUCUAGCAAACCCACAAAUGUCUACAAAUCUGAAGUUAAGGCUCCCUCGGCCUUUAAUUUUCCUGCUUGUGCAUGUUUGCACUGAGGUGGGACACAGGGUCUUUCAUUAAGUAGUGAGUAAACUCACGCAGAAUAAGAAACUUUCAUUUUUCAAAGGCAAUCUACGGGGCGCUGUGGAAGAACUUCAUGCACUGAUGUUUUACAGGGAGAAAAAGCCUGGAAGAUGUUCCAUGUCAUGCAGUACAUGUUCAUAAGUUCUAGGGCUGAUCCUUCUGAGAUGUGAACUGAAAUCAAGAGGAAAGCUUCUUUAAAAGCAAAGGAGAGGCCUGAAGAGAAUAAACUCUUGUUUCUGCAAAAAUUGCUAUAAAUGCCCUUCCCCCAGUAUACCUCACUUUAUCAGCAUGUCAUCUAAGGCCUUACUUUAGUGAGGUGUGAAGCGCAACCUUACUCAUUGUCCUCUUGAUUUCUGUCCCUUUCUCAUAGUAGUCUAAUGAAGAGUUGUACUCUUUCACUAAGACUCCAGCAACUUUUCCGUAGAAGAAAUGCUGCAAGGAGUCAUAGAAGGGACCUCCCCCCAGCUUACAGCAGUAUCACGAAAUUAAAUAAAUAACUAAAAUAAAAGCAUGAAAUCCUCAGGACAUGCAUGCUAUACUCAAAGUGACCACAUCCUGUUAGGGUAAAAUCCACAGUCGUGCAGAGACAACGCUCUACGACGCUCUCAGCACCUCUUUAAAGCUUCUGAGUGAAACCCCAAGUGCCUAAAAUCUAAGCAGUUGUGCUGUUGUUGUGUAUUAGGUUUGUUUCAGACUAACUUCCUUCCCAUAACAGGAACAAUUCUAGUACAGAGCAACAGAGCUACUCAGUUUACAGACUCUGGAAAGACUUCCCCAGUGCUUUACUCGCGUAGCAAACAGGAGUUAGUACCGAUCACCUCGAGUCGGCAGCACCUGGCACGACGGCACGAUCACGAGCUCGUACUGAGGCAGAGGCAUGCACACACAUUGCUGAGGGAAAACGAAGCAGUAAAAGAAGUAGCAUUAUGAAAAUAUGCCAAUUGUCAAACAUUUCUAACAGUUUUUACUGCUGUGUCUUAGGAAGCCGUCAUGCGAUAUAUAGUCACCUGAGCAGCGACCCUGCUUGGUCCCCAGGGAACAAAGAAUUUAUGCCUGGACAUUUCAGAUGGUUUUCUUUAAAACUGCUUUUGAGGGACAGCAACAUGGAAAGCCUGCAGUGAACAAACAAUCUGUGUGGAGUUUUCCUUCUGGAGACUCUUGCCCUACGAGUCAAUGCCUCGUGCCGUUGAGGAAAGGCCAUCUCUAAAAGGCCAAAGCCAGGGCAAUUUAAAAAUGGCAAAACAGACAUUUAAACUGGCCCAAAAAGGAAACAUGUUCUUAGUUCGAGAUCUUGAUGGCCAAGUUUCAGGACAAGAGCGAACGCCUACAGUUCACGAAUGACAAGAAACAGUGAUUGCAAUAGAAACCCUACCCCACCCUUCGCUAUAGCAACACAGCACAUAAGUUGUCUCUCAUGGAAAGAAAAAGAGACAAGUAUAGUUGACAUCUACUUUGGUAAUGCAAAAUGUUCACUGAAUGUCCUUCAGAUGGUCUCUCUCUUACGUCCAGAGCACAAGGAUAAACAUAUUUUCACAGUAUGAAGGCAGCAGUUACAAACUGUGCUUUUUAUUAUUAUUAUUAAUUAUUAUUAACAUUCAGGCUUGGGCAAGUUUAUUUUUUUAAAUUAAUUAUAGUCCACAUGUAAAGUGGAACUGAAACAAUUAAACCAGUUGAAACCACACUAUUGUUAUUGUGAGGAAGUCCACGCAUGGGCAUCUUGUUGACAUUCGUACCCUUUUUGAUUUAAUUUGAGGCAAGAAAAACCCAAACCCCCAAAACACGAUGUGAAUUAAGUCAAAGCAGAAUGUUAACCCAAAGAAGAUGUGAUUUGAAGUGUCUGGAGGCAUACAAGAAAAAUAUUAUAAUUAUUUAAAAUUAAUCCAAACAUAAACCGUCAUCGGUUUUUGGCUCCUAAUCAUCUUCUGCAAGUGUUGUUCACAGAAUGUGGAAUUAAUAUGGAAAUGAAUUAAUAAAAAUAAAGGUUUGCUGCACUUCUUUCUGCAGAAAAGACCUUAAUGCGUCGCUGUAGAGGUCACUUUUCAAAUCAGCCACUCCAACUCCCAUGUCAGGUAUUAAACAGAUUAUUUGAAGAAUGCAGCAAAAAUUGCCUCCCACCACCUCAACAAGUGAUCUAAAAUAACUCCCCUCGCAAUACAUAACUAUUUGUGAAGAAAUAAAAAUACAUUCUGGAGCUGGUGCGCUGGCUCAGCAAUGCCAGACGUGACGUAAGCCAGGGCAUGACGGGGAAGACUUACAGUCCGGAGCUGAUCCCCCCUAAUUCUGUAUGUGCAUGACAUUCCCUGAGCUGUGGGGUAAAGAACCCUGACAACUUCAACUCACAUUUGCGCAUGGUGUCCACAGAGGAUGCAAGUGUAGACCAGGAUCAUCCUGACCACAUCUAUCCUCCAGCCGCACUCUGCUUCCCGGGAGCAUGCAGUGAGCCCUUAAGACAGCUCAAGGCUACAGCAGAGCUACCAUUUAUUACAAAGUCACCCUGCAACUGGGCAGUUUAUAGUUAAAUUAUGCCACUUAUACAACACCAGCCAUCAGAAAGUCUGCUGUCCAAGCUCUUUCUGAAUGGCAUAAAAAGAUUAAGAGGCAAGUACAGGCCCAGCACUGUGGAUUACAGGGUGAAGGGAGGCAUUUUUAUAGUAGACUGGACUCAGGCUCCUUCUACAUCGGUCAAGUGUGCAGUUAAAAGUCCUUGGCUCAAUUAAAGCAAUUAGUCCAUGGAAGAGUUUUGCACAGACUUAAGAAAAUACUGUCACUUGUCAUGUUCACACGCUCAGGAAGGCAAUCAGCUGCAAGGUGUACCCUCGAACAUUUCUGAUCAGAGCUGCACAGCACUGCCUUCUACACAGCCAGGUAUACUUCAGUUCGUGGGUGAAGUACUUCUGAACCACGCCUGCACACAAUUUCAUCUGCCCCCUCAGCGUGCUCUUGACUAAAUAACAAAAAACCUUUUCCUCUGGUUUUUCUUGCCAUCUUUGUCAUCUAUGUGCAUCUUUUCUGCCAUAUCAUUUCCCAACCAGAGUGCACAGCUUUGAGAGAAAGCGGUGCUUACAGCCUUCAGGAGAGGUACCCGAAGGUACGAUUGCUUCUAAAUUGCUGUCUCCUGAAUACAGUACAGGUUUGUUUACUAUGUCCUAGAAUUUAGCAAAUCUACCCCGAGGCGCAGAUUAUAUAGAGAGCUCAGCACAUUAAAAACAUUGAAGCAUCUCAAGCCACAUCCUCUCUCAUUGCCCUUCACCUGAGAGAAGUCAGGCAAGGUGGCCUAACCCCUUCCUUUCGGUGGUAAACUGCAGCAAAUCUGCCAGUGCAUGGGUCUGACACUCCCUGGAAACCGCUCGUUCCUCCCCAGCAAGAAAAUUUGCAAGAAAUCUCCUAUAAUCCUGAGGGCACUACAGGAGCUUUCAACCACUUGUGCAAAGUGCAGAGAAGUGGUAAGUUACAGGAGGAGCUCAACAGGAGACGGGGACCUGCAGCAAGUUGCUGAUGACCCUUGAAUUGCUCAGUGGCCCCAAGAUGAGACUCCAAUGUACCAGGAUCCCACCUCUCUUAGCUCCAACAGCCAAAUGCUUUCUGGACUACAAGUGAAGCAGCAAUACGCAACAAAAGGCCGCUCAGCUGUCAGCGGGCAGAUCCAGGAGCUGGGGCAGUGACCCAGGAUGCGGCUGAGUUCCUCCUUUCGCCACAGCCUCCCAGCAUGACUGCGGGCCUAGCUGCAAGGCGUCGCAGUUCCUCAUCUCCUGAGCAGGGGGCUGGGGGUGACAGCGCACCACUUUGCCACGCAGGGUGACAGGGGAGAGGAGGAGCUCCCAGUAGGCACCAUGGGCUACCUGGGCCAUAGCAACACUUCAGCACCUUUCAGAGGAUGCUGCAGGGGGGCUCAUGGCCUGCGAAGAAAAGCGGGUCCAUGUGUGCACUGCAGCAAAUGUGCAGAUGGGAAAUUUCUGCACUUUCACUGUGCAAUAUUUAGGGCUCCACAAAUCAGAGAAGGUUGCGGUGCACUAAACAUACCCUGAAUGAGGCCCGGGUUACUUUUGCUACAGAGUUGAAGAGGUGGUAGGGGAGAUGUGCCUUAUUCCUGCCAUACCUCCCAAAUUUUGUGCUUUCAAUGUUCCUGCUUCCUCUCCUCCUGUCUGACAUUUCCCUCUUUCAUUCCUCUUCCUUUCCUCUUUCCAUUUUCUCUUCCUGCCCAUCUCCUUCCCUCCCCCUUCUCUUGAGACCCUUCCAAACAGUGCACUUGUCACAAGCUGAAAUGUAAAGGAGAAAGUUUCAGUUCCUGCCAGUUUGCAGCUUCUUUCUCCCCAGGUCAGCAAAAAAAAAAACAAAAAAAAAAACUUUUAAGAAGAGAUCAACACCCCACCCAGGCGAUAGGCAUCUUUCGAAAUCCUCCAACCCAAACACCCCACAGAGUCUCUCGCUCCAAGGCUGCUCUGUUCGAGCUGCCCUGCACUACAGCGCUCCCUCAAGAAGAGCCCGUACGAAUUGCACAAGGGUCCCCCAAAGCAAGAAAGUGUACCCGCUGCUGCCUGGGCUUUGGGAAACAGCACGAGGCACCUCGAGGGACUCGGCGAAGGCUGGGUUCAUCUUUGCAAAGGCUGGAGGACCAGCCGGUUUGGUGGGGGUAAAGGGAGGGGGAACCAUUCUCAGCAGCGUCCCAGCAGAGUCCUCGCUUGCUCAAGGCCACCAGAGCUACAGCAAUAAAGAGGAAUCAGUAGUUUUCCAGCCCUACAAGUGAAGGAUCGGGUCCCUGCUGCCUCUUGGUCCACAGCAACAGCCCAUGGGAUUUGGGAACUUGACGCCGGAAAGUUAUUCGCUGCUAAUCAGCGCUAAGUAAAACAAAUGUCUUAAAAGUAGCGUGGAGAAGAUGCAGUAGCUUUGAAGCUGCAUCGCAAUUACGCGGAGAGUGGGUAAGCAGUGUCCUGGCUAGUUUUAUUUGAGCUCCAUGUCCCAGUAAAACAGCCCCCGCCCUCCCUUCCUCCCCAUCCCGCAAUUAUUGAAAAGCUAAGCACAAAAAACAAAAAUACUGAAGGCCAAAAAAACAGACGGCAGUGCACUAGCUCCAAACGUCUGGCCCCUCGCUUGAGGCCAUAAUUAAUUUGAGAUUUAUUUUUUGGAGAACCCAGUCUCGUCUGACCUUAGCCAAACAAGACUUCAGCUAGACCCUUGAUGCGCUUGAAUGGAACAGAAUAUUUCUAACUUCUCUUCAGGCAUCCGUGCCUGCUUUGAAUUUGUUCCUCAGACUUCAUAUUUGGAGAUUUGCAGGAAAGAUUUAAAGCAUUUUCCCCCCUUAGCAUUCACUUUCUUUUCUUCCCGUUUUGCUCCCCUUUCCCUCCACACCUCCCCAUUCUUUCUAAACACGGGGUUGGGAAAUCACACGAAAGGCUGGAAUACAAAAUCCACUGGACCAGAAUAUUGGUGGGGGCGUUUUGCUGUAAAUUGAAAGAACGGAGCCAUUAGGAGGUCACAGAGCUGGAGGGGGGCGGCUGCUCGAAUGCUGGUGUCUGGCGGGGCGGGAGUCACCGAGCGUAAAAUCUUGUCCCCUGAGCCCGACAGCCUGGUUUGUUUUAGAAAGCGCAACGUGCUACAUUUCCAGGAGAAACGACGUUUCUCCCACCUUUCGACUUCAAUCCAACCGUGUCUUGAGGGCAAAGAGGGGAAGAAACAAUGCCAGUCCUGCCCACGCGGAGCUUGCCUUCACCACGGGUAAAAGUCGGGCAGGAUUUGCCGGGCACCGGGAAAUGGAAGGGUUUUUUUCCCUUUAAAGCAGCGAGGCGGGUGCAAACAAGAGCUAAAUCCUUAAGCAGCGAGUUGUCAGGACGCAUUAAUCAAAGACUUGCUAAAGUCUAACAACUUAACGGCGUUUCUGCCUCAAAAAAGGAGAACGAUUCGGUGUACGCGCGGAUUAAUCAUCACUCGGGGUGAGCAAGACGUAAGAGCUGACGGCAGCGUCAGGCUGGACGUCAAGCUGGAACUGCAAAGAAAGGAAGCAGGAACGGGUAAGGAUCCCCUCGGCAGGGACAAAACUACCUGAACUGGAAGAAAAACAGCCCGUCAAGUCCCUGCUUUCCCCUGCUCUGCGAGGCUCAGCUCUCCAGCUGUUCUUAAAGGUGUGCUGCGGGUUUGUGCCCGCAGCCACCUCUCCAGCAUCCCAUCCCCGGGCACCUGUGGGACUCAGCUCGCUCCCUGCACGAGUCCCUCUGCAGCGCCUUUCCCUCCGUUAGGCAUCAGGCAUCCUCCCGCCGCGAGAUUUCUGCUGGGGAAAAAAUAAAAAUUAAAAAAAAAAAUCCACCCACGAAAUACUGGGGGAUUCUUUCCUUGCAACCUGUGCCCGGAGCAGCCCUCUGGCUGCUACUGUUUCAGUAGGAGAGAAAGCGCGGCCGUGUCAGGGUUUGUCAGUGGCCUUCGCAUUGCCCUCUCCAAAGAAAAUCCUGAUGUUUUGUCCUUAAAAAAAAAAUAAAAAAAUUCUUCAGGGCUUCUGUAAACUUUCCAGGCAGAGGGAAAGCAAGAACAAACCAAAUUUGUUUCCAGCCACCCAGACCAUUUUGCCUUCGUGAAUAUGCUUCUUUGUACGGUACCACAAACAUUAUGGCUGCAUGAAAUCCAUUUUUAAAGCGAGAAGUCCUGCGCUUGCACGAUGGUUCCUUCUUCCCAUCUGUGAGGCUGGACAAAAGACCGUCUUCGUUCCCGUUCAGAGGUCUGCCCGAAGACCAUUUUCUGCACAGGUCAGCCAAAGGGAAUCCAGUGUUUUAAUGCGGGACACCCCAGGGAAAAAUCACCCCUAGCAAGGUUCACCUUGGAAGGGGAAGGCUGGAAAGGAGAGCAUGAAAGGAGGAGGCGCUGAUGCGGUAGCUCUGGGCAAGGGGAGUCUUGCAGGUGAAGAGGGCGAGAGGGGGAUUCCCGCACCCCAGCACACUUUGCAGACAUUCAAGAAGAGGAGGGACCCCUAACGCCCUCUUCUAUGACUUCUUCGCCUUUCCCUGUCCCCACGGGCGGCGCCUGGCAGGAACCGGGGCUCCCCUCGGCCGCGGAGUUCUGGGCGCUGAGCGCUGGGGCACCGAGAGCAGAGGCAGCGACUUCUCCGCGCCAGGAGGGGAGAAGGGUUUGGAUGUCGCCCGAGAGCGAAAGAAAAGCGACAGAAUAAGACUCCCCAAAUUAUUCUUGCACUGUCUUUACUCACGUAUUAAAGCACAGGCAGCAGCACAGGAGGAGAGUCAAGACUGCUGUGGCCCAGAGUAGCUUGUGGCAGUGGUAAUAAUUAAAAAUGCAGCAUGCAGAGGUCAUGUUGCUUUGCUUAUAGUCCUAACUCUUUCCAUACCCUUGCAGUCAGGAUUCCAGUGCUGUCUUUCAAAAUUUAAUUUCCCACUUAUUACUUUCAUUCUCUAAAGUCAAAUACUCAUGUUUAGAUGAGAUUAGCACCCUCUACUGUAAAUUAUUAACUAUUUGCAGAUCAGUAAGUCCCAUAAUGGCUUAAGGAACAGAAACAAUUUAUCUAUGAUGUAGAACAAAUGAGUAAUCAUAAAUGAUCAUAAAUAAUUUUAUACUUAUGAUUUUCUACUCCCCUAUUGUGUUAAGGCCCAUACAAGAAGGGAUACAAGAGAGAAUGAGUAGUGCUGUCAUGAAGUUACAUAGGAUCUUUUAACAGUGCUGUAGAUGCAGACCCACGUGUCCUGUGAUGUAAAUCAAGGUUACAACACUGGCAAGCUGAACAUUGCCAGUAUGACUCAACACAAACCAUCCCUGUUAAACCAUUUUAAAAUUCAGAACCUCUUCCUCCUCCAGCGUCCUUGCCCUACCUCACACUUUUGCAUUUUGAAAACCAUGGUGAGGAAAAUUGUGACCUGAUGGUAGUCAUAGGCUGUUUUGUACCUCAGGGGUACGACAGCAGAUUUGUUCCUAGGCCUUCCGGAGAACACCCUGCUAGCAACCCCCUCUCAUCCGCAACAUACAGAGAGGAGGCAUUCUUCUGCACAAGGCACGGAAUAAACAUAACACUUAUAUGUAUGUAUUACACUUGUUAAAGACAUUUUAUACAAGACACUGAUCCCAAUCGUGAUUUUCUCCUGGAGGAUGGAGGUACCAUGUCAUGAGCUGGGAUUCCAUGGAAUUCAUAAAUAAAUACUGAGUCCAUACCUCC